rnacentral:rRNA from 1 species
GCAGUCGAGCGGACAGAAGGGAGCUUGCUCCCGGAUGUUAGCGGCGGACGGGUGAGUAACACGUGGGUAACCUGCCUGUAAGACUGGGAUAACUCCGGGAAACCGGAGCUAAUACCGGAUAGUUCCUUGAACCGCAUGGUUCAAGGAUGAAAGACGGUUUCGGCUGUCACUUACAGAUGGACCCGCGGCGCAUUAGCUAGUUGGUGGGGUAAUGGCUCACCAAGGCGACGAUGCGUAGCCGACCUGAGAGGGUGAUCGGCCACACUGGGACUGAGACACGGCCCAGACUCCUACGGGAGGCAGCAGUAGGGAAUCUUCCGCAAUGGACGAAAGUCUGACGGAGCAACGCCGCGUGAGUGAUGAAGGUUUUCGGAUCGUAAAGCUCUGUUGUUAGGGAAGAACAAGUGCGAGAGUAACUGCUCGCACCUUGACGGUACCUAACCAGAAAGCCACGGCUAACUACGUGCCAGCAGCCGCGGUAAUACGUAGGUGGCAAGCGUUGUCCGGAAUUAUUGGGCGUAAAGGGCUCGCAGGCGGUUUCUUAAGUCUGAUGUGAAAGCCCCCGGCUCAACCGGGGAGGGUCAUUGGAAACUGGGAAACUUGAGUGCAGAAGAGGAGAGUGGAAUUCCACGUGUAGCGGUGAAAUGCGUAGAGAUGUGGAGGAACACCAGUGGCGAARGCGACUCUCUGGUCUGUAWCUGACRCUGAGGAGCGAAAGCGUGGGGAGCGAACASGAUUAUAUACCCUGSUAGUCCACGCCGYAAACGAYGAAUGCUARSUGUUAGGGAGGUUKC